AUUACCCAUCACUCACCUGGUGCGCGAGGCGGUGUGACGUCACGCCGGGGGUCACCUGCGCCGCCACCCUGACCUGCCUGCUGCCUGCCUCACCUGGCGCCACGCACACCUGGGAGGACCACAAGACAAGCCAUGAUAUAAUGAGCGUGCGGGAAUGCGUCGACCAGGCGGGAAUACCUGCCGGACACUGUCAUGUCUGCAUAUGAACAUGUACAGCUAUUCGUGCAGUUUGUCAUGUAAUGCAGGCACCCACACCUUGGCACUCACUAGGAAUGGUUUGCAGGCUGGAUAACACUUCCCCAUGGCACACACUUCAAGAAGGAUAUGAGUCAAAUAUUCAGGAUCUGUUUGUUUAUUGAAAACAAAGU